CGCGUAGUUAGCCGGCGCUUCUUCUGCAGGUACCGUCACCUUACGGCUUCUUCCCUACUGAAAGAGGUUUACAACCCGAAGGCCGUCAUCCCUCACGCGGCGUCGCUGCAUCAGGCUUGCGCCCAUUGUGCAAUAUUCCCCACUGCUGCCUCCCGUAGGAGUCUGGGCCGUGUCUCAGUCCCAGUGUGGCCGGUCACCCUCUCAGGCCGGCUACCCGUCGUCGCCUUGGUAGGCCAUUACCCCACCAACAAGCUGAUAGGCCGCGAGUCCAUCCAAAACCACAAAAGCUUUCCACCACCAUGACAUGCGCCAGAUGGUCGUAUCCGGUAUUAGACCCAGUUUCCCAGGCUUAUCCCAGAGUCAAGGGCAGGUUACUCACGUGUUACUCACCCGUUCGCCACUAAUCCCCCAGCAAGCUGGGAUCAUCGUUCGACUUGCAUGUGUUAAGCACGCCGCCAGCGUUCAUCCUGAGCCAGGAUCAAACUCU
rnacentral:rRNA from 1 species